rnacentral:rRNA from 1 species
GACAUGCAGAGAACUUUCCAGAGAUGGAUUGGUGCUUCGGGAACUCUGACACAGGUGCUGCAUGGCUGUCGUCAGCUCGUGUCGUGAGAUGUUGGGUUAAGUCCCGGCAACGAGCGCAACCCUUGCCUUUAGUUGCCAGCAGUUCGGCUGGGCACUCUAAAGGGACUGCCGGUGUUAAACCGGAGGAAGGUGGGGGAUGACGUCAAGUCCUCAUGGCCUUUAUGACCAGGGCUACACACGUACUACAAUGGCCGAUACAAAGGGCAGCGACACUGCGAGGUGAAGCCAAUCCCGUAAAAUCGGUCUCAGUCCGGAUUGGAGUCUGCAACUCGACUCCAUGAAGUUGGAAUCGCUAGUAAUCGUGGAUCAGCAUGCCACGGUGAAUACGUUCCCGGGCCUU